rnacentral:rRNA from 1 species
UACGAAGGGGGGCUAGCGUUGCUCGGAAUCACUGGGCGUAAAGGGUGCGUAGGCGGGUCUUUUAAGUCAGGGGUGAAAUCCUGGAGCUCAACUCCAGAACUGCCUUUGAUACUGAGGAUCUUGAGUUCGGGGAGAGGUGAGUGGAACUGCGAGUGUAGAGGUGAAAUUCGUAGAUAUUCGCAAGAACACCAGUGGCGAAGGCGGCUCACUGGCCCGAUAC